rnacentral:piRNA from 1 species
GUGGAUCAGACCAGCAGCAGACUGCCAGUGU